rnacentral:rRNA from 1 species
GAGGGCGAGUUAUAUAACACCAUAGGACUGGCCGUCCCAUAUGAAAAGAUUAUUUAGAAUUGAAUGUAGCUUUGUUUGUAUAUUGAUAAUGCCAGUAUAUAUAUCGUGUCUUGACUAAUUGCGUGCCAGCAGUUGCGGUAAUACGUAAGAGAAUAGUGUUAUUCAUCUUAAUUAGGUUUAAAGGGUACCCAGACGGUCAAUAUAGCUUAUAAAAUGUUAGUACUUGACUAGAGUUUUAUGUAAGAGGCCAGUACUUGAGGAGGAGAGAUGAAAUUUCGUGAUACCAAAGGGACUCUGUAAAGGCGAAGGCAGCCCUCUAUGUAAAAACUGACGUUGAAGGACGAAGGCACAGAGAACAAACAGGAUUAGAUACCCAAGUAGUCUCUCCAGUAAAUGAUGAAUGCCAUAGGUUAGAUGGGUCAAUUAUAGUUUAGGGUUAGUCUAGCAAACUAAUACCCUAUGCUAUAAUUCCUAAUAUCUGGUCUAUAAAUGAAAGUGUAAGCAUUUCACCUCA